rnacentral:rRNA from 1 species
AUGCCUUUGGUGGACAAAUACUCCAGCAAAAUGAAAGGGUGGAAGCCAAAGCUGCUCGCUAUCUCGGGUCGCCUGACUCUAACCAAAUCGGUGCUGAUGGCGCUACCCAUUCACCUCAUGUCAGUCCUUCCGCUACCAGUUUGGGCAAUAAAGAUGAUCGAGCGGAGGUGCAGGAGCUUCGUUUGGAAAGGAGAGCAAGAAAUCAAUGGAGGCCACUGCCUGCUACCAUGGACCAUGAUUUGCAGACCCAAGGAGUUUGGUGGGCUCGGCAUACUUAAUCUUAGGUACUUUGGUUUUGCUCUUCGCUGUCGUUGGCUGUGGAAACAAUGGGAUGAAGAGAAGAGACCCUGGUGCUAUUUCAAGGAUUCGACGGAGAAGGAGGUUGCAGCGCUGUUCUCGGCGGCCUGCGAGAUCUCUCUUGGAGAUGGAACGGAGGCCGAAUUCUGGGUGGACAACUAG